rnacentral:rRNA from 1 species
UACGUAGGGUGCAAGCGUUGUCCGGAAUUAUUGGGCGUAAAGAGCUCGUAGGCGGUUUGUUGCGUCGGCUGUGAAAUCCCGAGGCUCAACCUCGGGUCUGCAGUCGAUACGAGCAAACUAGAGUGUUGCAGGGGAGACUGGAAUUCCUGGUGUAGCGGUGAAAUGCGCAGAUAUCAGGAGGAACACCGGUGGCGAAGGCGGGGUCUCUGGGCAACAACUGAC